UUGCAAAGAGCACUCUACAGUGUGCUGCCAAUGAUGUAUCAACACCCUAUGCCAUUAUUCCUUUCUAAAUGAGAUAAUAAUGUGAUCUGCUAACAUAAAAAAAGUUUGACUCCACAAAAUCAGCUGGAAAUGGACAACCACAAUAUGCAUAAAUCUAAUUCCUACCAUCAGAUGCACACUGUUAGAUAUAAACUGUUAAAAGGCUUUCUUUUUUCAUUUUUCCUAAGCAAAAUACUUGCUUUAGAAUUCAACGGUUGAAUAUCAGGAGCUUGUGAAGUAUUUACCUCUCAGUGGCAACCCAGAAUUUCUGUUUUUUAAUCCUUUAUGUUUUACAGGAUUUGCAAAAGCACUGGUGAUG
rnacentral:lncRNA from 1 species